UAAUAAUAAUAAUAAUAAUAAUAAUGCAGACAGUGAUUAUACUCCCUUCUCAGUGAUAGCUGGGGAUAAUAUUAAUAAUAAUAAUAAUAUCCCCAGCUAUCACUGAGAAGGGAGUAUAAUCACUGUCUGCAUUAUUAUUAUUAUUAUUA